UACGAAGGGGGCUAGCGUUGCUCGGAAUGACUGGGCGUAAAGGGCGCGUAGGCGGUUUGGACAGUCAGAUGUGAAAUUCCUGGGCUCAACCUGGGGGCUGCAUUUGAUACGUUCGGACUAGAGUGGGGAAGAGGGUCGUGGAAUUCCCAGUGUAGAGGUGAAAUGCGCAGAUAUCAGGAAGAACACCCGUGGCGAAGGCGGCUCUCUGGCCCAUUACUGACGCUGAGGCACGAAAGCGUGGGGAGCAAACAGG
rnacentral:rRNA from 1 species